GAAUGCUGACAUAAGUAACGAUAAAGCGGGUGAAAAGCCCGCUCGCCGGAAGACCAAGGGUUCCUGUCCAACGUUAAUCGGGGCAGGGUGAGUCGACCCCUAAGGCGAGGCCGAAAGGCGUAGUCGAUGGGAAACGGGUUAAUAUUCCCGUACUUGGUGUUACUGCGAAGGGGGGACGGAGAAGGCUAUGUUGGCCGGGCGACGGUUGUCCCGGUUUAAGCGUGUAGGUGUGUGUUCCAGGUAAAUCCGGUUCACUUUAACACUGAGGCGUGACGACGAGGCACUACGGUGCUGAAGCAACAAAUGCCCUGCUUCCAGGAAAAGCCUCUAAGCAUCAGGUAACAUCAAAUCGUACCCCAAACCGACACAGGUGGUCAGGUAGAGAAUACCAAGGCGCUUGAGAGAACUCGGGUGAAGGAACUAGGCAAAAUGGUGCCGUAACUUCGGGAGAAGGCACGCUGACACGUAGGUGAAGUGAUUUACUCAUGGAGCUGAAGUCAGUCGAAGAUACCAGCUGGCUGCAACUGUUUAUUAAAAACACAGCACUGUGCAAACACGAAAGUGGACGUAUACGGUGUGACGCCUGCCCGGUGCCGGAAGGUUAAUUGAUGGGGUCAGCGCAAGCGAAGCUCCUGAUCGAAGCCCCGGUAAACGGCGGCCGUAACUAUAACGGUCCUAAGGUAGCGAAAUUCCUUGUCGGGUAAGUUCCGACCUGCACGAAUGGCGUAAUGAUGGCCAGGCUGUCUCCACCCGAGACUCAGUGAAAUUGAACUCGCUGUGAAGAUGCAGUGUACCCGCGGCAAGACGGAAAGACCCCGUGAACCUUUACUAUAGCUUGACACUGAACAUUGAGCCUUGAUGUGUAGGAUAGGUGGGAGGCUUUGAAGUGUGGACGCCAGUCUGCAUGGAGCCGACCUUGAAAUACCACCCUUUAAUGUUUGAUGUUCUAACGUGGACCCGUUACCCGGGUUGCGGACAGUGUCUGGUGGGUAGUUUGACUGGGGCGGUCUCCUCCUAAAGAGUAACGGAGGAGCACGAAGGUUGGCUAAUCCUGGUCGGACAUCAGGAGGUUAGU
rnacentral:rRNA from 2 species